rnacentral:rRNA from 1 species
UGGGGAAUUUUGGACAAUGGGCGCAAGCCUGAUCCAGCAAUGCCGCGUGCAGGAUGAAGGCCUUCGGGUUGUAAACUGCUUUCGUACGGAGCGAAAAGGUCUGCCCUAAUACGGUGGGCUCAUGACGGUACCGUAAGAAUAAGCACCGUCUAACUACGUGCCAGCAGCCGCGGUAAUACGUAGGGUGCGAGCGUUAAUCGGAAUUACUGGGCGUAAAGCGUGCGCAGGCGGUUAUAUAAGACAGAUGUGAAAGCCCCGGGCUCAACCUGGUACCUGCAUUUGUAACUGUAUAGCUAGAGUACGGUAGAGGGGGAUGGAAUACCGCGUGUAGCAGUGAAAUGCGUAGAUAUGCGGAGGAACGCCAAUGGCGAAGGCAAUCCACUGGACCUGUACUGACGCUCAUGCACGAAAGCGUGGGGAGCAAACA